UACAGAGGGGGCAAGCGUUAUUCGGAAUUAUUGGGCGUAAAGGGCGCGUAGGCGGCUUUUCAAGUGACGGGUGAAAUCCCUCGGCUUAACCCGAGGAACUGCCUGUCAGACUGGAAGGCUUGAGACCGGGAGAGGUGAGUGGAAUUCCCAGUGUAGCGGUGAAAUGCGUAGAUAUUGGGAGGAACACCAGUGGCGAAGGCGGCUCACUGGACCGGAACUGACGCUGAGGCGCGAAAGCGUGGGGAGCAAACAGG
rnacentral:rRNA from 1 species